rnacentral:rRNA from 1 species
AUUGAACGCUGGCGGCAGGCUUAACACAUGCAAGUCGAGCGGGGUGAUGGUGCUUGCACUAUCACUUAGCGGCGGACGGGUGAGUAAUGCUUAGGAAUCUGCCUAUUAGUGGGGGACAACAUCUCGAAAGGGAUGCUAAUACCGCAUACGUCCUACGGGAGAAAGCAGGGGAUCACUUGUGACCUUGCGCUAAUAGAUGAGCCUAAGUCGGAUUAGCUAGUUGGUGGGGUAAAGGCCUACCAAGGCGACGAUCUGUAGCGGGUCUGAGAGGAUGAUCCGCCACACGGGGACUGUGGCACGGCCAGACUCCUACGGGAGGCAGCAGUGGGGAAUAUUGGACAAUGGGGGGAACCCUGAUCCAGCCAUGCCGCGUGUGUGAAGAAGGCCUUAUGGUUGUAAAGCACUUUAAGCGAGGAGGAGGCUCUUUUGGUUAAUACCCAAGAUGAGUGGACGUUACUCGCAGAAUAAGCACCGGCUAACUCUGUGCCAGCCGCCGCGGUAA